CCUACGGGAGGCAGCAGUGGGGAAUAUUGGACAAUGGGCGCAAGCCUGAUCCAGCAAUGCCGCGUGUGUGAAGAAGGCCUUCGGGUUGUAAAGCACUUUUAUCAGGAACGAAAAGGUGUCGGCGAAUACCCGGCACUGCUGACGGUACCUGAGGAAUAAGCACCGGCUAACUUCGUGCCAGCAGCCGCGGUAAUACGAAGGGUGCAAGCGUUAAUCGGAAUUACUGGGCGUAAAGGGUGUGUAGGUGGCCUGUUAAGUCUGUCGUGAAAGCCCUGGGCUCAACCUGGGAAUGGCGGUGGAUACUGGCGGGCUCGAGUACGGUAGAGGGUGGUGGAAUUCCCGGUGUAGCGGUGAAAUGCGUAGAGAUCGGGAGGAACAUCAGUGGCGAAGGCGGCCACCUGGACCAGUACUGACACUGAGACACGAAAGCGUGGGGAGCAAACAGGAUUAGAUACCCUGGUAGUCCACGCCCUAAACGAUGCGAACUGGACGUUGGCUGCAACUUGGCAGUCAGUGUCGAAGCUAACGCGUUAAGUUCGCCGCCUGGGGAGUACGGUCGCAAGACUGAAACUCAAAGGAAUUGACGG
rnacentral:rRNA from 1 species